CACUCCAAGUACCACGAGGAGAGCUUGCGUUACUGAAGGAGGGUGUGAGAGAGGGGUGUUAGUAGAAAAAUGUAAAAGAAUUAGGCUGAGUGAAGGCGGGAAAUUCGCUCGGGAAUAGGAUUCAGACUGAAGAAAGCAUAUUAAUUUUCCCACGCGGUACACAGAUAAGAAAACAUCAAACUCCUGUCAAUAUGAGGAUUCCAUGACCAGCAGACUGGGGAGGAGCCUUAACAGAUAACAUGCUUGCUGUAAGCAACUGUAGUUCGGAUCUCUAGAACCCAUGUAAAAAGACUGGAUAGUCCUGUUGGUUGCCUGUGUCCCAGCAGAGACAGAUUAUUCAUGGACAAGCUGGCUGGAAUUGGUGAAGUCCAUAACCACUAAGAGACCUUCCCUUGAGAAAGCAGAGAGCAGCUGAGGAAGAUACCUUAUGUCAUCUUUGUGCUUCUAUAUGCACAUAAUAAUGUACACCUCUCCGUGUUUGCCCAUAGAUUCAAACACACAUGCCACACACAACACACUUGCAAAAAACAGUUCAUGAUAUGGAUGUAUUAAAAUCUACUUGUUUCUAACCAUAUCGUAUACUUUAAAAAAAUGUUAAUUGAAAUGAAAUUACACCACUUCCUCCUCCUUUCCCUCACUCAAACUCCUCCCAUGUAUUCCCUCAACUUGAUGGCUUCUUUAAUUAUACUUGUUACGUGUAUGUAUGCACAGAUAUAUGUAAACAGAACUUAUUUGGUUCAUUGUAUGUAUAUGGCUUCAAGGCUGACCACUCUAUAUUUAAUAUCCAACCAAGGGGCUCUUCCCUGGAGAGUGUAAUUCUCCAGCAGUCAUUAGCUGUCGCUCAUUGUCUAGGGAUGAAACACCACUGAAAUUUUCUGCUCCCCACUCCAGCAUGUCCAUUGAUAUUACCAUUGUCCUAGUUGUUAUAAAGCCAUUUCUAGGAGAGUCCAUUUCAUAGAUGACUUCCUGGAAUUUUGGCUCUUACAAUCUUUCCAUCCCCUUCUGAGAUAUUUUGAAUCAUGGAUGUAGAUAUAUUCAUUGGGGUUGUGCUCCCCACAAUCCGUUGAUUUCUGUACUGUGCCCAUUUCUGGUUUUCUGUGAUGGUCUCCAUUUGCUGUAAAAAAAAGGUUUCUUUGAUGGUGUUAAUACACUUUUAUUUCUAAGGGAUUCCUAAAGGCAGGUUUACUAAGUCAAAUGAAUGUUUGUUUGUAUGUAUGUAUGUAUGUAUGUAUGUAUGUAUGUAUGCAUCUCCCACUUUAGCACUGCUAUACUUUGGAUACAUAUUGUUGGAUAGCAAAUUAUCUUUAAAAAUUAGGGGCCUCACAUUAUGUGAACUGGCACUCAACGAUGGUUCUACCCUGUAGUUCUGCUGCUGCUCCACAGCCUGGAUGAAGAUCAUGCAUUUAGCAUCUCAGUUAGUGGUUACAGUUCCCUUGAUGCUCCCAAAAGCUUCAUUCACAUGGUAAGAUCCUUGGUGUCUUCCAGUCUCCUCACAUGACUGCUCUCGGCAUGGUGACAUCAGUGAUGGUUUUUCCACAGCAGCUGCCUUCAAAUAAGGCAGAAGUUGCCAAUCCUUUUGAAGCCUAGGUCUAAAAAAAGUCUGGUGUCAUUUGGGUCAUGUUUUUGGUUUUAAACAAAAAGGCAUACAGAGAGGCAACAUUUAUUGGGGUGAGAAUCAAUGUCCACCAUAUUUAGAAGUUAUGUUCAAUAUCUUGGGUUAUCUUUAUACAAAAUGUGUCUAGAAGUGGACUCAUAGUCCCUGUGUAUUUGUCUUGAUUUUGCCUCGAUUGCCUUUCAUAGGCUGUGCUACUAGAAGUCAGUUUAGUGCUGCGUUGGCUCAGCCAGUAAAGGUGCAUUCUGCCAAUCUCAAUGACCUGAAUUCAAUCCCAAGGACCUAGCUGGUGGAAGAAGAGAACUCUCACAAGUUUUCCUCUGACAUCCACAGGUAAUGCUUAUAAUGUACAUAUGUACACUCACAUGAUAAAUAAAACAAUAAAGUAAUA
ensembl:lncRNA